UACGUAGGGUCCAAGCGUUAUCCGGAAUCACUGGGCGUAAAGCGUUUGUAGGCGGAAAUUUAAGUGAGAUGCGAAAUCUUGUGGCUCAACCAUAUAGACGGUAUCUCAUACUGGGUUUCUAGAAGAUAGCAGAGGUAAGUGGAAUUAGUAGUGUAGCGGUAAAAAUGCGUAGAUAUUACUAGGAACACCAAUGGCGAAGGCAGCUUACUGGGCUAUAUUUGACGCUGAGAAACGAAAGCGUGGGGAGCGAACAGG
rnacentral:rRNA from 1 species